rnacentral:ncRNA from 3 species
AAGGUAGCCAAAUGCCUCGUCA